GACGAACGCUGGCGGCGUGCUUAACACAUGCAAGUCGAACGGAAAGGCCCUGCUUUGGGGUGGUGCUCGGGCGGCGAGCGGGGGAGUAACACGUGAGUAACCUGCCCUUGACGGUGGGAUAACUUCAGAAAACUGGUGAUAAUACCGGGUAGGAGCUCCUGCUGCAUGGGGGGGGUAGGAAAGUUUCGGCGGGGGGGGAUGGACUCGCGGCUUAUCAGCUUGUUGGGGGGGUAGUGGCUUACCAAGGCUUUGACGGGUAGCCGGCCUGAGAGGGUGACCGGCCACAUUGGGACUGAGAUACGGCCCAGACUCCUACGGGAGGCAGCAGUGGGGAAUAUUGCACAAUGGGCGGAAGCCUGAUGCAGCAACGCCGCGUGCGGGAUGACGGCCUUCGGGUUGUAAACCGCUUUCGCCUGUGACGAAGCGUGAGUGACGGUAAUGGGUAAAGAAGCACCGGCUAACUACGUG
rnacentral:rRNA from 1 species